UACAGAGGGUGCGAGCGUUGUCCGGAAUUAUUGGGCGUAAAGCGCAUGUAGGCGGCUUGUUAAGUCGCGUGUGAAAGCUCCAGGCUCAACCUGGAAAGUGCGCGCGAAACUGGCGAGCUUGAGUGCCGGAGAGGGUGGCGGAAUUCCCGGUGUAGAGGUGAAAUUCGUAGAUAUCAGGAGGAACACCGGUGGCGAAGGCGGGUCUCUGGGCCGAUACUGACGCUGAGGAGCGAAAGCGUGGGGAGCGAACAGG
rnacentral:rRNA from 1 species